rnacentral:rRNA from 1 species
GUGAGGAAUUUUCCGCAAUGGACGCAAGUCUGACGGAGCAACGCCGCGUGCAGGAAGACGCUUUUCGGAGUGUAAACUGCUUUUCUGUGGGACGAGGAUGGACGGUACCACAGGAAGAAGUCCCGGCUAACUACGUGCCAGCAGCCGCGGUAAUACGUAGGGGGCCAGCGUUGUCCGGAGUUACUGGGCGUAAAGCGCACGCAGGCGGUGCGGCGCGUUUCGCGUGACAGCGGGUGGCUUAACUGCCCGCGGGUGCGAAAGACGGCCGCACUGGAGGGCCAGAGAGGGACACGGAAUUCCGGGUGGAGUGGUGAAAUGCGUAGAGAUCCGGAGGAACACCGAAGGCGAAGGCAGUGUCCUGGCUGGUGACUGACGCUGAGGUGCGAAAGCCAGGGGAGCGAACGGGAUUAGAAACCCUAGUAGUCC